CAAAAACCUCAAAAUGACCCCAAAAAUGACCCAAAUUUGUGCUUUUUCACCCCAAAACUUACCUCAGGUUCACCCCGAUGCCUCCAAAGCCCCCCAGAUUGACCCAAAACCCCAAAGUCUCACCCCAAAAUCCCCCCAAAUUGAACCCCAUACCCCAAAGUCUCACCCCAGAAUCCCCCCAAAGCCCCUCAUCUCCCCCCCAAAACCCCAAAAUGACCCAAACUUGUACUUUUUCACCCCAAAACUUACCUCAGGUUCGCCAAGCUGCUGCUGCGUCUGCCGGCGCUGCGCUCCAUCGGCCUCAAAUGCUUGGAGCACCUCUUCUUCUUCAAGCUCAUUGGGACACCGCCC
ensembl:lncRNA